AGUACCAAAGUGCUCAUAGUGCAGGUAGUUUGGACCUGACUCUACUGUAGUAUGAGCACUUCCAGUACU
rnacentral:pre_miRNA from 1 species